AGAACUUGAGAGCGGUGGUUAAAGACACUGAGGAUUUGUAUAACUGGAGAGCGAGGGUUAAAGACACUUUGGACUUGUAUAACUUGAGAGCGAGGGUUAAAGACACUGAGGACUUGUAUAACUUGAGAGUGAGGGUUAAAGACACUGAGGACUUGUAUAACUUGAGAGCGAGGGUUACAGACACCGAGGAUUUGUAUAACUUGAGAGCGACGUUUAACCUGCAGCCCACGCUGACUCCAAGAAGCACUGGUGACUAGAGCGCAGUGGAACCCAGCAGCGGCUGGGAACACUGGAAGCUGUGCAACAACUGACACCUGGAAAUGCCGGAGACACUGGGCUAUGCUGCAGAGAGAUCCGCCGAGAACAGAAGCACUGGCAUCCACUUCAGGGGAAAAGACGAUACUCAGGCGCCGAGGCGCUGCCCGGCGUCUGCCUUUGAAUCUCCCGCCUCUGCCGGAUUGGCGGAACAGUCUGAUGACGUCACCUGCUCCCCGCCCACGUGAUGCCGGGUGUCAUGGCGGCGCCCCUGCCCCGGGGAACCGCCGGGAGCCGCGCCAGCCAGGCGCCAGAGCCCGUGGACCACCGAAGGCGGAGGCUGCAACACAGACCAGCAGGCCGCAGGGCUCCAACACGUGUGCUAGUCUGACCGGAGAUGUCACUUCUGGAUGUACCGAGGGAGACAUGACUGGAAAGCCGGGCAGCGUGUUUGGAGACGGCGGGGAAGACCAUACACUUGAAGUCUGUCCUUGAGCGGCUACCGUGAGCAGCGGUGGGAGCAACGUCCGCGUCCGGUUGCCUAGCAACGACGCGACGUCUUCAGUGGAAGCCGGUGACGGAGCUUGGGAGCGCGCGCACCGCACACCGCAGGCGUCCGGAAGCUGACCGAGGGAGACCUUACACGUGGAGACUAUUUAGAAUGCGACAGGAUGGGCUUGGCUGUCUGAGACACAUUAAAUAAACCAGGAUGAAGAAAUUCCCAUUUGUGUGUGACUGACCAUGCAGUCAAGGUAGGAGAGUUACAUGUGAAGACGCGCCGAGAAUGUACAACCGAAAACACUUUGCACCUUUCAUCCAUUUAUUGAGUUACUUGUAUAUGAAGGUAUGUACCACCUAAAAUAGAGAACAGAUGAGUCCAGAGCAGAUUUGUCUUCACUACCAUCAACUAAUAUCUGGCGCAUACUGUAGAUGGGUCCAACUCCGCAGCAAAAGAUUUUAAUUUAUAGAUGUUCUGUAUAUACUGUAAUGUUGCAUGCUCAGUUACAUGUUUGGUGCAAUUUCCCAACAUUUCCCAACAUAUCUGAUAGGGUAUGUGUGCUUCAUUGUGUAAUGUGUAUGUUGCAUUUUUUCCUACCUAAGAUUUGUUAUGUUAUGCAUACGAUGCAUUAUGCCUAGAUAUAUGAUAGCGAUUUACAGCAUUACAUUAUGCCUAGUAAACAUUUUCUAAGCUUAUCUGACAAUGUAAUAUUUCUUUUGGAUUGCAUUUUGAUGAAAAAGUAUUUCAAGAUAUAAGUGAUUAAACACAAACCCUAUAUAAAUAAACAAGAAUAAUAACAAUAAUAUACUUGUUAAGAUAAAAUUAAAGUAAUCAACAUUUUCAGUCAUAUCUAUCUAUACUAUCUAAUUUGCCAGGUUGCCAGAAGAUACACUGUCUACUGGUAAGAGCCCUCUUCUGUUCCACCUUUAAAUACAGUAUGUGUCAUUUGUGUGUCAUUUUCAGUGUGAUGAACCCAUGUUGUUGUGACCUUUUUGCUAUUAUUGUGUUCUGUGUAUGUUUUUAUAUAAUAAGAGAGUGCAUCUUUCAUCCUCUAUUUGACCAGGUGAUUUAUAUAUCCUAAGUCGUUGUACUACAUAAGGCUCACCUAUGGGAAUAUAAUAAACAGCAGACUAGUAGGCUCAUUAAUCAACGAGUGAAAAAUGUAACCAGCCAAUCAGCUCAUAACUAUCAUUUUUCAAACACAUUCUGUUUCGUGGCAGUUAGGAGCUGAUUGGCUGGUGCAAUUUAUCACUCACAGUGAAAUGUAUCACUCAUUGAUAAAUGAGCCCAUAGAUAAGCACUUAGAUACAAUAACAGACUAUCUGGCCUUGUUUUGCUGCCUGUAUAAUAUAGCAGGCAAGACUAUGGCGGCCAUAUAAUGAAGUCCGA